UCUCACCAACUCUGCCUCCCUUGGAAAAAGCCUCUAAUAUCAAGAACAGUUCCAUUCACUUCAAAUCCUUUUGUCUCUCAGCCUCAAGAAGCUGUCAUCUCUAACAAAGAGCAUCCUACCCAACAAAUGAAAUAUGCAGUUUAUUGCCUGCCAGCAGACCUCAGGACCUUUGCUACUCAUCCAUAUACAUCAGGAGAAAAAAGGGAACAAACCCAACUGUCUGGAGAAAUCCAUGUUGGGUGACCAUUUUGUUCUCCAGAUAAAGAGAGUGAUAAAUUUCCUAGAGUAAUCUGAAGACCUGGAUGUGAAGCAGACGGUAUUUUCUUUCCAGGGCACAUUUUGGCCUUUGGGAUAGCAGAUUUAAGAAGGGAAAAGCAGUUAGUGUGGUGAGUGCAACAAGAGAAGGAAAGAGUGAGAAUUUGUGAGAGAAACAGCCCAGCAGACAGCAAGGUCAGUGGAGGAGGAGGAGGAGAAGGUGCUCCAGAUGCAAGUGCAGAGAUUCUCCUGCAGCCCAUGCAGAAGACCAUGACGAAGACCUUGGUGAGGCAGCUGUGCCCCUGCAUCCUAGGGAAGUCCAUGGCAGGACAGAGAUCCACCUGCAGCUGGAGGACCCCAGGGCGGAGCAGGUGGAUGCCUGAAGUAGGUUGUCAUCAUGAUACCACGGAGGACCAUGAUAGAGCAGGCUCCUGGCAGGACCUGUGGCCCUAUGGAGAGAGGAGACCAUGUCGGAGCAGCUCUGCUGACAGGACUUGUGACCCUGUGAGGGAUCCAUGCUGGAAAAGUUUGUUCCUGAAGGACUGUACACCAUGGAAAGGACCCAUGUUGGGGCAGUUUGGAAGAACUGCAGUCUGUGGGAAGGACCCGUGUUGGAAUUCAUGUCUCCUGUGGGAGGAACCCCACGCUGGAGGAGGACUACACAGAGAAAACAGCUUUGGACCUGCAUCGAGAGGUUGGAUUUCCUGAUCUCCUGCACCAUUCUCUGAGUCUGUGAAACACCAAAACAC